rnacentral:rRNA from 1 species
GUGGGGAAUAUUGGACAAUGGGCGAAAGCCUGAUCCAGCCAUGCCGCGUGUGUGAAGAAGGUCUUCGGAUUGUAAAGCACUUUAAGUUGGGAGGAAGGGUAGUAACCUAAUACGUUGCUACUUUGACGUUACCGACAGAAUAAGCACCGGCUAACUUCGUGCCAGCAGCCGCGGUAAUACGAAGGGUGCAAGCGUUAAUCGGAAUUACUGGGCGUAAAGCGCGCGUAGGUGGUUUUGUAAGUUGGAGGUGAAAUCCCCGGGCUCAACCUGGGAACUGCAUCCAAAACUGCAUGACUAGAGUACGGUAGAGGGUAGUGGAAUUUCCUGUGUAGCGGUGAAAUGCGUAGAUAUAGGAAGGAACACCAGUGGCGAAGGCGACUACCUGGACUGAUACUGACACUGAGGUGCGAAAGCGUGGGGAGCAAACAGGAUUAGAUACCCGGGUAGUCC